UACUCGAGUUGCGAACGGGUGAGUAACACGUGGGUGAUCUGCCCUGCACUUCGGGAUAAGCUUGGGAAACUGGGUCUAAUACCGGAUAGGAACCAUCUUUAGUGUGGUGGUUGGAAAGUUUUUUCGGUGUAGGAUGAGCUCGCGGCCUAUCAGCUUGUUGGUGUGGUAAUGGCCUACCAAGGCGGCGACGGGUAGCCGGCCUGAGAGGGUGUACGGCCACAUUGGGACUGAGAUACGGCCCAG
rnacentral:rRNA from 1 species